UUGACCUCGGAUCAGGUAGGACUACCCGCUGAACUUAAGCAUAUCAAUAAGCGGAGGAAAAGAAACCAACAGGGAUUGCCCCAGUAACGGCGAGUGAAGCGGCAACAGCUCAGAUUUGGAAUCUGGCCCCCAGGGCCCGAGUUGUAAUCUGGAGAGGAUGCUUCUGGCGCGGCGCCUUCCGAGUUCCCUGGAACGGGACGCCGGAGAGGGUGAGAGCCCCGUACGGUUGGACGCCUAGCCUUUGUGAAGCUCCUUCGACGAGUCGAGUAGUUUGGGAAUGCUGCUCAAAAUGGGAGGUAAAUUUCUUCUAAAGCUAAAUACCGGCCAGAGACCGAUAGCGCACAAGUAGAGUGAUCGAAAGAUGAAAAGCACUUUGAAAAGAGGGUCAAACAGUACGUGAAAUUGUUGAAAGGGAAGCGCCCGUGGCCAGACUUGUGCCCCGCGGACCACCCGGCGCCCUCAGCGCCGGUGCACUCCGCGGGGCGCAGGCCAGCAUCGGUUUUCCUAGGGGGAUAAAGGCGGCGGGAACGUGGCUCCUUCGGGAGUGUUAUAGCCCGUCGUGCCAUGCCCCUGGGGGGACCGAGGACCGCGCUUCGGCAAGGAUGCUGGCGUAAUGG
rnacentral:rRNA from 1 species